UCAUAUUGCUUCUUUCA
rnacentral:miRNA from 1 species